CCGGCAUCUAAACGGAGCCCCACGGGUGCUUAGGAUUCCUCGGGCCCAGCGCUGAAAUGAGCACUUGUUUAACUUCACCUGUGUGGCUCCCGGCGGGAGGCCUCAUUCACAGUCACGUUUGUGGAGCUCUGCUUUGCGCCAUCUUUGGUUCCUGACUUUGGGCGAGUGAAUUAAGCCGUCCCCUGUAAAAUUCGGCUAACACCUGCUUCACGGGGUGACUGGAGGGAUUAGAUGACAUAAUACAUAUUGAUGAGUGCGUGCCCAGCACAUACGAGGUUACCAGGUGACAGGGGUGUUUAUGAAGAACUGGGACUCACUGGAUGAACAUGGGGUCUGUACUGCCGACAAAGACUGUGAAGACGCUUACAGAGUUUGCCAGAUCUUAGACAUCCCUUUCCAUCAAGUGUCCUACGUAAAGGAGUAUUGGAAC
rnacentral:sRNA from 1 species